rnacentral:rRNA from 1 species
UUGAACGCUGGCGGCAUGCCUUACACAUGCAAGUCGAACGGUAGAGGGGCAACCCUUGAGAGUGGCGAACGGGCGAGUAAUGCAUCGGAACGUGCCCAGUCGUGGGGGAUAACGCAGCGAAAGCUGUGCUAAUACCGCAUGUGAUCUGUGGAUGAAAGCAGGGGACCGCAAGGCCUUGUGCGAUUGGAGCGGCCGAUGUCAGAUUAGCUAGUUGGUAGGGUAAAAGCCUACCAAGGCGACGAUCUGUAGCUG